AAGCCAUGCAUGUCUAAGUAUAAGCAAUUAUACAGCGAAACUGCGAAUGGCUCAUUAUAUAAGUUAUCGUUUAUUUGAUAGUACCUUACUACUUGGAUAACCGUGGUAAUUCUAGAGCUAAUACAUGCUAAAAAUCCCGACUUCGGAAGGGAUGUAUUUAUUAGAUUAAAAACCAAUGCCCUUCGGGGCUCCUUGGUGAUUCAUGAUAACUUCUCGAAUCGCAUGGCCUUGCGCCGGCGAUGGUUCAUUCAAAUUUCUUCCCUAUCAACUUUCGAUGUUUGGGUAUUGGCCAAACAUGGUUGCAACGGGUAACGGAGGGUUAGGGCUCGACCCCGGAGAAGGAGCCUGAGAAACGGCUACUACAUCCAAGGAAGGCAGCAGGCGCGCAAAUUACCCAAUCCCGACUCGGGGAGGUAGUGACAAUAAAUACUGAUACAGGGCUCUUUUGGGUCUUGUAAUUGGAAUGAGUACAAUUUAAAUCCCUUAACGAGGAACAAUUGGAGGGCAAGUCUGGUGCCAGCAGCCGCGGUAAUUCCAGCUCCAAUAGCGUAUAUUAAAGUUGUUGUGGUUAAAAAGCUCGUAGUUGAACCUUGGGCCUGGCUGGCCGGUCCGCCUCACCGCGUGUACUGGGUCCGGCCGGGCCUUUCCCUCUGUGGAACCCCAUGCCCUUCACUGGGUGUGGCGGGGAAACAGGACUUUUACUUUGAAAAAAUUAAAGUGCUCCAGGCAGGCCUAUGCUCGAAUACAUUAGCAUGGAAUAAUAAAAAUAGGACGUGGGGGUCUAUUUUGUUGGGUUUCUAAGGACCGCCCGUAAUGGAUUAAUAAGGGGACAGUCCGGGGGGCAUCCAAUAUUCCCGUUGUCAGAAGGGGGAAAUUCUUGGGAUUUUCCGGAAA
rnacentral:rRNA from 1 species